UGAUUUUCAAAUGGAAAAUUUCUUUGAAAACACUGCACAUCUAUUCAUCAUAAACAGACAGCUCAGUGAGCUGACUUUCUGUUUUGAGUCAGAGAGCAACAGGCCUUCAGCAAAUAGUCCUCAGCCUCAGAGACAGAUUUGGAAAGCCAUUGGAGAGACAACCAAGUGCAAUGGGGGAAAAAAGCUCAAAAGGACCCCAAAGGCACUCUACAUGGUGGAAGAAGACAUUCUCAAGUCAAGCUGCGGAGCAGACUGAGGGCAGAGCAGACUGAGGGCAGAGUAGCUGCCUGGAAGAAGCAGAAACCAGCUGAGCUGCCUGAGGCUGUGCAGGAGCUCCAGGUCCCCAGUGUUGUGCGCUGUCACCCAUGCUGGAGUGGAACUUGAUAAUGCACUGCAAUCAAGUCAUUUGUGCUCUUGCACAGAGUGCCCCACCCAUAUUCCUGUAUGCAGGUAUGCAGUACAACGUAAGACCAGUAGCUGACAUCCAGAUGUUCAAGUGUAGUCCUCACCACUCGUCAAAGAAACGUCUCUUUGUAACAGAUGAAGACCAUUACAGAAAACCACAUUUGAUCAAAAUGCAGAGAACAAGAGACCACAUGUUGCCCACCUCCACUGAUACAUCUACGACUCCGGCACCAAGGGUUCCUGGAUCAUUGUAAAAGAAGGGGCAGAAAAAUAGGUGAGAGCCACAGGAAAGGAAGUUUGCUGUGAUAUUGUACCCCCUACACAUGCCAGAGAAGCAGCGCUCAUGAAGUCUCAUCGCAUGGCUACCUAACUCAAACAUGAACAAAGACGACAGUAGUGGACAUGCUCCCGUGGAAGGGGAAAACUCAGGAGGCUACAACCUUAGACAAAGAAUUACAGGCAACGAAGUGGAGAAAUAGUCUCCCCUAGAGAAGAGAACUUCCUACUGGUCAUCCAGCACUAAGUGACCAGUUCUGAAAUCACAAGCCACAUAUAUAAAAGUAACACUGUAAGGGCUAAGUGGGUUGUAUUUAUAUAUUAAGGAAUACACAUAUGGAUAUAUAUGAAUAUAUAUAUUUAGGACUAUAUGUAUUUAGGAAUAUAUGUGUAUGUAUAUGUGUUUGUAUGUAUGUGUAAGAACAAUUAAAGAGACCUCUUUAUUAAAUUAUUUUAUUUAUUUACAUCCCAAAAGUUGCCCCCUUCCAGGUCCCCCUUCCCCGAGUUCUUCGCCCCAUCCCUCCCUCCAUCCAAGGAAUGGUUCCACCCACCCUGGGUCUUCCUACAUC
ensembl:lncRNA LOC102550737 uncharacterized LOC102550737